UACGUAGGAGGCAAGCGUUGUCCGGAAUUACUGGGCGUAAAGGGUGCGUAGGCGGGUCUUUAAGUCAGGGGUGAAAUCCUGGAGCUCAACUCCAGAACUGCCUUUGAUACUGAGGAUCUUGAGUUCGGGAGAGGUGAGUGGAACUGCGAGUGUAGAGGUGAAAUUCGUAGAUAUUCGCAAGAACACCAGUGGCGAAGGCGGCUCACUGGCCCGAUACUGACGCUGAGGUGCGAAAGCGUGGGGAGCAAACAGG
rnacentral:rRNA from 1 species